rnacentral:lncRNA from 1 species
UUAAUAUAAAUGUUUUUGGUCUCCUGCUUUUUGGCUAGUUAAACAUCCAAAUUCAGAUCUUCUAUUAAGACUGACUGUACCCUAGGCACUUAACCAACAUGACUGGAAAACUUUUUGUUAAUUUGUGUCUAUUGUUCAUUGGACUUUUUGGCACCACGUCCGCGCUUACCACAUGUUACGCAUGUGAAGGAACUUCGACAAUAUGUGACGACCCAGUGGACAUCAGUAAACUAGGCCAGUGCAUCUUCCUCAAAUACCUCUUUAGCUUUGCCAGUUUUCUCAAAGUUUAACAUCAGCACGACAGCACUUAAGCUCAGUCCAUUACAAGCCAAAACUGGUGGAACUUGUGGCAAAAUCGUGCUUACAUCUGGAUCUUUAAAAUCGACUGUUAGGCAAUGCUUUUAUGCAAACAUCGAUGGCCUGGACUUAUGCGAAUACUUAAAACAAAACGUGAGUGAUGUAUCAAUGACGUGUAAUACUUGUAAUACUGAUUUAUGUAAUUCCUCAAACGUCCUAAAGGGAGCAUAUUUGGGGUUGUUUUUAGCCCUUUUAGUUAGCUUGGUAUAUUUUAAGUAAAUAAUUGAUUUUGUUUUAAAGUAUCUCUUACCGAACCCAUUAAGGUGAUGCCCUAUUGUGUCAAGUAGCAAAUUCAAUUUUAUUUUAAGACGGAUGGAAGUGCGGAAACUUUGUAUGAAAUUUUAAUUAGCUGUUCUGCACUGCACUAACGGGUUUUAGUCGGUAAGAUACUCUCGUGAAACUUCUGAUGGGAUGAUGUUAAUAUUAUAUACCGAAGGGCUUUUAUAGUUUAAAUUGUAUUUGUAAUUGAGUUAAUUUUAUUAUAGGAUAGAUAAUUUAUUCAAUAAAUAUUUUUAUAGUUGUUUGCCUUUGAUUUGCUUAAGGAAUAUCAAAAAUUGAUAAAUUGUUUUGAUUGAUCGAUAAAGAUAAAGGGUCUCUAUACAGUGCAUCCCAAAAGUUAUGUCUAAAUUCAUUUAAAAUUCAGGGGUGUGUUCGAAAAAGAAACGCUCGGAUCCGUCGAUUUUUAUUUCAAGUUGCGCCUGUACUUCAUGUACAAAAUGAAGUUUGUAUAUACAGGGUUGCUCAAAAAUAAAUUACGACCAUCAACUUCAUUGUUUCAAAUGAAAGCACCUUUUUUUAUUUCAUCUUUGAAUUUCGCGUGGAAUUCUAGGUAUGUUUCAUGCAUCAUGUCCUAUACCUUAAAUCAACAGUUAUCGAAAAAAGACGAUUCAUGUAAUAAAUAAAAAAGAACAAAAAUUGAGUUAAAUGUUCAAAAUGGUUGCCAUUCACGGCUUGACAAUAUCCAAGGCGAUCAAUAGUCUCGUUGCACAUUUUCAAUCAUUUCCGGAGUUAUGGCGCGCACUUAGUUCUCUCUUUCAAGUCGUCUAGAUUAUUUGGCCUAUUAACAAAUACCUUCGACUUGAGGUAUCCCCCCAAAAAAAGUUGAUUGGUGUUAGGUCAGGUGACCUAACAGGCCAUUCGAUGGGUCCUCUCCUUCCUAUCCACCGAUUGGGAAAGGUUUUUUCCAAAAAUGUACGCAUAGUGGCAGCAUAGUGCGGAGGAGCGCCAUCUUGCUGGAAAAUUAGUUCUUCGUCAGGAUAGUCUGGGUCCAAUGGAUUUGGAAAUAAAGCUAGUAAUGCUAAAACCUUAGAACAUUGAAAGGCUAGAAUUAGUAAACAACAACUUUGUUUGAGUCCAACAUGUGCACAGGGGCAAGAGGGGUGUGUUGUUUACAAACAUAUUUGCCGAUUCUCUGUUGUCAAGUCGACGCGAAUUUCCAACGGAGGAAAUUUUUUGCUAUAUUUUAACAACCAUUAUAACGUUAAUUUAACUUACUUGUGUUGUAUUUUAUAGGAAAAUUUGAAUUAAAAAAUAUAAAUACUACAAUUAACCUAUUUUAAGAAUAAAUAUAAUAUCCUUAAGCAAAAAAAAGCAAAAUUAUUAACAUUCUUAUCCCUAAAACCGUUUCUAAAAAAUUUGAAGCGACAACACCGGAACUUAAGCGCCUGAGCCAUACGCAUAGUGUCAUCUGUCAAACGGCUUUUUGUUUACGUUCGGGAUUCGUGUAUUUUCUUUAAUUUUUUGGUUUCAAAAGGCAAAAGGCCACAUUUUAGUGUUUUUUUAAAUUGCUAGGAUGGCAAAAACUUGUGUCGUUUGUGCCGCAUCAUGAUAAAAAGGUGAUUCAAGCCGAUCUUUUCACAAGAUUUCUGAUGCACUGGUUAAAAACACAGCAGCCGAUAAUUCAGUUAAUUUACCAAGUGAUUUACCCUUCAAAGCUGCAAGGGUAGUUUUCCUGAAGAGUGCAAAAACUUCUUUAGCUUCCAAAAUGGUAUAUAGUACAAACAGUGAAGCUAAUAUAGACAAAUCUGAUCUUUCAUC